GGUGCAAGCGUUGUCCGGAAUUAUUGGGCGUAAAGAGCUCGUAGGCGGUCUGUCGCGUCUGCUGUGAAAACUCAGGGCUUAACCCUGAGCUUGCAGUGGGUACGGGCAGACUAGAGUGCGGUAGGGGAGACUGGAAUUCCUGGUGUAGCGGUGAAAUGCGCAGAUAUCAGGAGGAACACCGGUGGCGAAGGCGGGUCUCUGGGCCGUAACUGACGCUGAGGAGCGAAAGCAUGGGGAGCGAACAGG
rnacentral:rRNA from 1 species